rnacentral:rRNA from 1 species
AUACCAGCACCCCGAGUGGUCGGGACGAUUAUUGGGCCUAAAGCAUCCGUAGCCGGUACUGCAAGUCUUCCGUUAAAUCCACCUGCUCAACAGUUGGGCUGCGGGGGAUACUACAGCGCUAGGAGGCGGGAGAGGCAAGCGGUACUUAAUGGGUAGGGGUAAAAUCCACUGAUCCAUUGAAGACCACCAGUGGCGAAGGCGGCUUGCCAGAACGCGCUCGACGGUGAGGGAUGAAAGCUGGGGGAGCAAACCGGAUUAGAUACCCGGGUAGUCCCAGCUGUAAACGAUGCAGACUCGGUGAUGGGUUGGCUUCGUGCCAACCCAGUGCCGCAGGGAAGCCGUUAAGUCUGCCGCCUGGGGAGUACGGUCGCAAGACUGAAACUUAAAUGAAUUGGCGGGG